rnacentral:lncRNA from 1 species
UGAUUUCUGUUAGUCUGGGGUAGAUCUUCUCUAGUCUUGGGUUCAUUGAGUAUCCUAUUAAAAUAACCUUUCUGCCUAGCUUGCGGUCAAUCUGGGUCGACUCCUCUAAGGUUGUAGUUGGCUCCUCCUACUCUAAAAAUUCCAAAAUGGUUUAUAUAUAUCUCCAACCUUUGAAAUUGAUUUCUCAAGACCUUUUCAUGCACUUAAAUACAAUAAGCUUCCUGAAAA